AUCCAUCUGACGAGUCCCAAAUAGGACGAAAUGCGCAUCCUGGCU
rnacentral:hammerhead_ribozyme from 1 species